AUUGAACGCUGGCGGCAGGCUUAACACAUGCAAGUCGAGCGAGCGGCGGACGGGUGAGUAAUGUCUGGGAAACUGCCUGAUGGCGGGGGAUAACUACUGGAAACGGUAGCUAAUACCGCAUACCAUCAGAUGCGCCCAGAGGGGAUUAGCUAGUUGGUGGGGUAAUGGCUCACCUAGGCCACGAUCCCUAGCUGGUCUGAGAGGAUGACCAGCCACACUGGAACUGAGACACGGUCCAGACUCCUACGGGAGGCAGCAGUGGGGAAUAUUGCACAAUGGGCGAAAGCCUGAUGCAGCCAUGCCGCGUGUGUGAAGAAGGCCUUCGGGUUGUAAAGCACUUUCAGCGAGGAGGCGUUACUCGCAGAAGAAGCACCGGCUAACUCCGUGCCAGCAGCCGCGGUAAUAC
rnacentral:rRNA from 1 species